AAAUCACGGCCCGUAGGUGAACCUGCGGAGGGAUCAUUACACAAAUAUGAAGGCGGGCUGGAACCUCUCGGGGUUACAGCCUUGCUGAAUUAUUCACCCUUGUCUUUUGCGUACUUCUUGUUUCCUUGGUGGGUUCGCCCACCACUAGGACAAACAUAAACCUUUUGUAAUUGCAAUCAGCGUCAGUAACAAAUUAAUAAUUACAACUUUCAACAACGGAUCUCUUGGUUCUGGCAUCGAUGAAGAACGCAGCGAAAUGCGAUAAGUAGUGUGAAUUGCAGAAUUCAGUGAAUCAUCGAAUCUUUGAACGCACAUUGCGCCCUUUGGUAUUCCAAAGGGCAUGCCUGUUCGAGCGUCAUUUGUACCCUCAAGCUUUGCUUGGUGUUGGGCGUCUUGUCUCUAGCUUUGCUGGAGACUCGCCUUAAAGUAAUUGGCAGCCGGCCUACUGGUUUCGGAGCGCAGCACAAGUCGCACUCUCUAUCAGCAAAGGUCUAGCAUCCAUUAAGCCUUUUUUUCAACUUUUGACCUCGGAUCAGGUAGGGAUACCCGCUGAACUUAAGCAUAUCAUAACCCGGAGGAAA
rnacentral:rRNA from 1 species